UGUCAGAAAUGGAUUUUUUGAUGACAAAAAAAGUUUUCUCUGGAAAAGAAUCAUUUUACUUUCCACUAAACUAACGGCAUAAUAGGUAAUGCCUUUUUUUUUUUUUUCUUGUUUUUCAUUUUCUUUGUUAGAACCAAGUCCGUGAGUUCUGAGUUGGAAGCAGCGGCAUCUGCUGUUGCAGAUUUUCUCCCUUUUGAUAAGCAGACAACCAAGUCAGAGCUGCUCAGGCAACUCCAGCAGCAUGAGGAAGUCUCAAAGGCACAGAAAGAUGGAGAAAGAACUAAAAUUAGUGUCAGUAACAUAAUAUCAGAUAUGAAAGUUGCCAAAUCUGCCACAGGUAGAGUUAGUACAAGACCAGUGCAUCAAAUUCAAUUUGAUGAAGGAACUGACCGUUUCAUGGGACAGAAGACUGAUGAUCUUAAGAAAAGGUACUCUGGCUUUGCAGUCUGUUUGGUUUUGUUAGUUUUAUUUGUUUCUCUGUAGAUUUACUUUAUUCUGUGCAUGUUAUUGCUGAUAGGUAUUUGAGCAUUAUGGAUGCAUUUAUAUCUCUCUUCUCACCCUGCAUGUACCAUUUCCUGUAGAGGAAACAAUGUUCUGGAUUUAGUAGUCUUGUGCUUUUCUAUACCAUUAAUCACAUUGGGUCCUGCCUCCUAUUUAUCCCUGAUGAGUAGAGGUCUCCUGAUUUAAGGUAAGUGGAACUGAUUGAAUUCUGAACAAAUGAGCACUUGUGAGAAGCAUUAUUUUUCAUUCUGAUAUGUACAUAACAAUAUUUAUAUAAUUUUUCUAUCUCUAUAUAAUUAUUAAUAUUCAUACCCUAGAGAAAUAAUCCACCAUC